UUCAUGGUUUAUUAAAUGUGUGAAAAAUGUAUGAAAAUACUUACCUUGAGAAAAAAAGAGAACUGUACAGUUAAAAAGAUAAUUCAUCUAAGCAUUACUGUGUCAUUUUUUAUGAUGUUUCUGUUUUGCAUGGGUAUUUGUAAAUAAUUACGUAUUACUAACAGUCUUUUCCUUUUUCCAUGGCAUGCACCAGGCAUCAAUGGGUUAACAUUUAAUUAUCUUUCCUUUUUGAGUCGUAUUCAAAUCUCAAUAAUCUUGCGAUUGUUUCUAAUCGUAAUAAUCUUGGGAUUGUUUCAGCGUUUCAGAAAAAAAGAUUCUCCACAAACAUCUGCACACGUCGGUAACAUCGUCAGGAUGGAGACCAUGGAGCAGUUUGACAAGGAGGAAGUGCAUCUCAUUGACAACAGUAACUUUGAACGCAUGAAGGAGGUAUGAGGUUCAACAAGGCGGCAACAGAAGACCUCAUCAAGCAAACCAGCGCUGGCCAUCUGAAGCAUGCACCACAGAGACGUCAGCAGUGAGGCGAGGCACCUGGUCGGUGAUGUGGCAGCCUUAGUUUCCUUUUUUAUCCUGUUGUUUCGUUUUGCAUCCUACAACACACAUCUACAUUCUCCACUCACACAACAUGCACCUCAUGCUUACUUUACUGACAUCCACAUCCCAUGUUUUGUAAUCUUUUGUUGGACAUAUUUAAGUU